rnacentral:rRNA from 1 species
GACGAACGUUGGCGGCGUGCUUAAUACAUGCAAGUCAACUGAAGCAGAGGUAGUAAUAUCUUUGUGGAGGUGGCGCACGGGUGAGUAACACGUAGGUAAUCUGCCUUCAGGUCUGACAUAACCCCGAGAAAUCGGGGCUAAUAGCAGAUGAUGCAGCGGCUUGACAUCAAGACAGUUGUCAAAGCCAACCGAGCAAUCGGUUUAGCGCCUGAAGAUGAGCCUGCGUCUGAUUAGCUAGUUGGCGGAGUAACAGCCCACCAAGGCUACGAUCAGUAGCUGGUCUGAGAGGAUGAUCAGCCACACUGGAACUGAGACACGGUCCAGACUCCUACGGGAGGCAGCAGUAA